GGUUGGUAGCUCAGUGGUAGAGCAUCCAGUCAAGAUUAUAGACGGUCCCAGGUUCAAUUCCUGGUGUGUGACCU